UUUAAUUGAAGAGUUUGAUCAUGGCUCAGAUUGAACGCUGGCGGCAGGCCUAACACAUGCAAGUCGGGCGGUAACAGGG
rnacentral:rRNA from 1 species